rnacentral:rRNA from 1 species
CCUACGGGAGGCAGCAGUGAGGAAUAUUGGUCAAUGGGCGGGAGCCUGAACCAGCCAAGCCGCGUGAGGGAAGAAGGUCCUGUGUAUUGUAAACCUCUUUUGUCAGGGAACAAAGGCGGGGACUAGUCCCCGGAUGAAGGUAACUGAAUAAAAAGGCUCGGCUAAACUCGUUCCCGCCGCCGCGGUAAUACGGAGGAUGCCAGCGUUAUCCGGAUUUAUUGGGUUUAAAGGGUGCGUAGGCGGCCUGUUAAAUCAGCGGUAAAAGCCCGGGGCUCAACCCCGGCGAGCCGUUGAAACUGGCGGGCUUGAGUGGGCGAGAAGUAGGCGGAAUGCGCGGUGUAGCGGUGAAAUGCUUAGAUAUCGCGCAGAACCCCGAUUGCGAAGGCAGCGUACCGGCGCCAGACUGACGCUGAGGCACGAAAGCGUGGGUAUCGAACAGGAUUAGAUACCCUGGUAGUC